rnacentral:rRNA from 1 species
UGAACGCUAGCUACAGGCUUAACACAUGCAAGUCGAGGGGCAGCAUGAAGUUUGCUUGCAAACUUGAUGGCGACCGGCGCACGGGUGAGUAACGCGUAUCCAACCUUCCCCUUAGUAGGGCAUAGCCCGGUGAAAAUCGGAUUAAUACCCUAUGUUUUCCAAUGAGGACAUCUGAGCUGGAACAAAGAUUUAUCGCUAAGGGAUGGGGAUGCGUCUGAUUAGGUAGUCGGCGGGGUAACGGCCCACCGAGCCAUCGAUCAGUAGGGGUUCUGAGAGGAAGGUCCCCCACACUGGUACUGAGACACGGACCAGACUCCUACGGGAGGCAGCAGUGAGGAAUAUUGGUCAAUGGUCGAGAGACUGAACCAGCCAAGUAGCGUGCAGGAUGACGGCCCUAUGGGUUGUAAACUGCUUUUAUGCGGGGAUAAAGUGCACUACGUGUAGUGUUUUGUAGGUACCGCAUGAAUAAGGACCGGCUAAUUCCGUGCCAGCCGCAGC